rnacentral:misc_RNA from 1 species
UCCGGUUUAUCACCGGCAGUCUCCACAGAGUCCUCGGCUUGACCCGUUAGUAACUGUGAACAAGGGUUGCGCUCGUUGCGGGACUUAACCCAACAUCUCACGACACGAGCUGACGACAGCCAUGCAGCACCUGAACCGGCAGUCCCCGAAGGGAAAGUCCUAUCUCUAGGACGGUCCGCCGUUGUCUAGCCCAGGUAAGGUUCUUCGCGUUGCGUCGAAUUAAACCACAUGCUCCACCGCUUGUGCGGGUCCCCGUCAAUUCCUUUGAGUUUUAGCCUUGCGGCCGUACUUCCCAGGCGGGGUGCUUAAUGCGUUUGCUACGGCACCACAGGAGUCAAAGCCCGUGACACCUAGCACCCAUCGUUUACGGCGUGGACUAC